GCUGCACGCCGCCGCGCACCGCCACGACGCGCCGCACGCACAGCCAAAUGCAAAGCGAGCAGUGAUAGCAACAAAGAGCAAACGGCCUCCCCCGCCUGUACACAAUACGCCAAAUAAUAAAAAUGCAAGACUGAAGAAAGGUAUGAAGACAGCAAAGCAGCGUCUCGGUAAAAUCCUUAAAAUACACAAAAUGAUAUAUUAAUUAUAACUAAUUAGUUUAUUAGAUUACGCGUGACAGACGGACGUAAGUAGAUGUAUAUUUUAUAUAUGUAUUGUAUAUAAGCACGGACCAAUACGUGUCGUGGUCGAAUGAUGACUAUGGAUCUUAUUAAGCGAUUUAAGAAGAAAAAUAUUGCAUUAUUUAUAUAUUUAGCUAAUAAUAAUCAAAGAAAGUUUUCGUCUUUCUGAGCUUCUGUGCUUAGAGGAAGAAAGCCUAAUUUAACAAAUAUUGGGUACCGCCCGACCCCAAUCUCCCCAAACCCCGAAUAUCCUACAAUCCUCAAAUUCC